GUUGUAUAGUCAAGUAAUUAAGUGCAUGUGGUGGAUGCCUUGGCAGUCAGAGGCGAUGAAAGACGUGAUAGCCUGCGAAAAGCUCCGGGGAGGCGGCAAAUAUCCUUUGAUCCGGAGAUGUCUGAAUGGGGGAACCCACCUACUUUAAGGUAGGUAUUGCAACAUGAAUACAUAGUGUUGCAAGGCGAACGAGGGGAAGUGAAACAUCUCAGUACCCUUAGGAAAAGAAAUCAAUUGAGAUUCCCUCAGUAGCGGCGAGCGAACGGGGAUCAGCCCAUUAAGUUAUGUGUGUUUUAGUGGAACGCUCUGGGAAGUGCGAACGUAGAGGGUGAUAUUCCCGUACACGAAAGGGCACACAUAAUGAUGACGAGUAGGGCGAGGCACGUGAAACCUUGUCUGAAUAUGGGGGGACCAUCCUCCAAGGCUAAAUACUCCUGACUGACCGAUAGUGAACCAGUACCGUGAGGGAAAGGCGAAAAGAACCCCUGUGAGGGGAGUGAAAUAGAUCCUGAAACCGCAUGCAUACAAGCAGUGGGAGCACCUUCGUGGUGUGACUGCGUACCUUUUGUAUAAUGGGUCAGCGACUUAUAUUCAGUAGCAAGGUUAACCGUAUAGGGGAGCCGUAGAGAAAUCGAGUCUUAAUAGGGCGUUUAGUUGCUGGGUAUAGACCCGAAACCAGGCGAUCUAUCCAUGAGCAGGUUGAAGGUUGGGUAACACUAACUGGAGGACCGAACCCACUGUCGUUGAAAAGCCAGGGGAUGACUUGUGGAUAGGGGUGAAAGGCUAAUCAAGCCUGGUGAUAGCUGGUUCUCCCCGAAAGCUAUUUAGGUAGCGCCUCGGACGAAUACCAUAGGGGGUAGAGCACUGUUUCGGCUAGGGGGUCAUCCCGACUUACCAAACCGAUGCAAACUCCGAAUACCUAUGAGUACUAUCCGGGAGACAGACUGCGGGUGCUAACGUCCGUAGUCAAGAGGAAAACAAUCCAGACCGCCAGCUAAGGCCCCAAAAUCAUAGUUAAGUGGGAAACGAUGUGGGAAGGCAUAGACAGCUAGGAGGUUGGCUUAGAAGCAGCCACCCUUUAAAGAAAGCGUAAUAGCUCACUAGUCGAGUCGGCCUGCGCGGAAGAUGUAACGGGGCUAAAACUAUGUGCCGAAGCUGCGGAUNNNNNNNNNNNNNAUGCUGGAGGUAUCAGAAGUGCGAAUGCUGACGUGAGUAACGACAAAACGGGUGAAAAACCCGUUCGCCGAAAGACCAAGGGUUCCAGUCCAACGUUAAUCGGGGCUGGGUGAGUCGACCCCUAAGGCGAGGCCGAAAGGCGUAGUCGAUGGGAAAAUGGUUAAUAUUCCAUUACUUCUGUGUAAUGCGAUGAGAGGACGGAGAAGGCUAAAUCAGCCUGGCGUUGGUUGUCCAGGUGAAAGGAUGUAGGCAUGUAUCUUAGGCAAAUCCGGGGUACUCUAUGCUGAGAUCUGAUAGCAAGCUGUACUUGUACAGCGAAGUGGUUGAUGCCAUGCUUCCAGGAAAAGUCUCUAAGCUUCAGUUACACAGGAAUCGUACCCGAAACCGACACAGGUGGUCAGGUCGAGUAGACCAAGGCGCUUGAGAGAACUCUGCUGAAGGAACUAGGCAAAAUGGUACCGUAACUUCGGGAGAAGGUACGCUGUUGUUGGUGAUGGAACUCGCUUCCUGAGCUGACGACAGCCGCAGAAACCAGGCCGCUGCAACUGUUUAUUAAAAACAUAGCACUCUGCAAACACGAAAGUGGACGUAUAGGGUGUGAUGCCUGCCCGGUGCUGGAAGGUUAAUUGAUGGGGUUAGCGUAAGCGAAGCUCUUGAUCGAAGCCCCAGUAAACGGCGGCCGUAACUAUAACGGUCCUAAGGUAGCGAAAUUCCUUGUCGGGUAAGUUCCGACCUGCACGAAUGGCAUAAUGAUGGCGGCGCUGUCUCCAGCAGAGGCUCAGUGAAAUCGAAAUCGCUGUGAAGAUGCAGUGUACCCGCGGCUAGACGGAAAGACCCCGUGAACCUUUACUGCAGCUUGACACUGAACUUUGACCUUACUUGUGUAGGAUAGGUGGGAGGCUUUGAAGCUGGAACGCUAGUUCCAGUGGAGCCGUCCUUGAAAUACCACCCUGGUAAUGUUGAGGUUCUAACUCUGUCCCGUGAUCCGGGACGAGGACCGUGUCUGGUGGGUAGUUUGACUGGGGCGGUCUCCUCCUAAAGAGUAACGGAGGAGUACGAAGGUGCGCUCAGCGUGGUCGGAAAUCACGCGUAGAGUAUAAAGGCAAAAGCGCGCUUAACUGCGAGACCCACAAGUCGAGCAGGUACGAAAGUAGGUCUUAGUGAUCCGGUGGUUCUGUAUGGAAGGGCCAUCGCUCAACGGAUAAAAGGUACUCUGGGGAUAACAGGCUGAUACCGCCCAAGAGUUCAUAUCGACGGCGGUGUUUGGCACCUCGAUGUCGGCUCAUCUCAUCCUGGGGCUGAAGCAGGUCCCAAGGGUAUGGCUGUUCGCCAUUUAAAGAGGUACGCGAGCUGGGUUUAGAACGUCGUGAGACAGUUCGGUCCCUAUCUACCGUGGGCGCUGGAAAUUUGAGAGGAUCUGCUCCUAGUACGAGAGGACCAGAGUGGACGAACCUCUGGUGUACCGGUUGUGACGCCAGUCGCAUCGCCGGGUAGCUAUGUUCGGAAGGGAUAACCGCUGAAAGCAUCUAAGCGGGAAGCCUACCUCAAGAUAAGAUUUCCCUAGGACUUUAUGUCCUCUAAAGAGCCGUUCGAGACUAGGACGUUGAUAGGUUGGAUGUGGAAGCAUAGUGAUAUGUGAAGCUGACCAAUACUAAUUGCUCGUGAGGCUUGACUAUACAACACCCAAGCAGUUG
rnacentral:rRNA from 1 species